AUUGAACGCCGGCGGCAGGCCUAACACAUGCAAGUCGAGCGGAUGACGGGAGCUUGCUCCUUGAUUCAGCGGCGGACGGGUGAGUAAUGCCUAGGAAUCUGCCUGGUAGUGGGGGACCACGUUUCGAAAGGAACGCUAAUACCGCAUACGUCCUACGGGAGAAAGCAGGGGACCUUCGGGCCUUGCGCUAUCAGAUGCGCCUAGGUCGGAUUAGCUAGUUGGUGGGGUAAUGGCGCACCAAGGCGACGGUCCGUAACUGGUCUGAGAGGAUGAUCAGUCACACUGGAACUGAGACACGGUCCAGACUCCGACGGGAGGCAGCAGUGGGGAAUAUUGGACAAUGGGCGAAAGCCUGAUCCAGCCAUGCCGCGUGUGUGAAGAAGGUCUUCGGAUUGUAAAGCACUUUAAGUUGGGAGGAAGGGCAGUAAGUUAAUACCUUGCUGUUUUGACGUUACCGACAGAAUAAGCACCGGCUAACUCUGUGCCAGCCGCCGCAGUAAAAC
rnacentral:rRNA from 1 species